AUUGAACGCUGGCGGCAGGCCUAACACAUGCAAGUCGAACGAGUGGCGGACGGGUGAGUAAUGUCUGGGAAACUGCCCGAUGGAGGGGGAUAACUACUGGAAACGGUAGCUAAUACCGCAUACCAUCGGAUGUGCCCAGAUGUGAUUAGCUAGUAGGUGGGGUAACGGCUCACCAAGGCGACGAUCCCGAGCUGGUCUGAGAGGAUGACAAGCAAAACGGGCACUGAGACCAGGUCCAGAAUCCUACGUGAGGCAGCAGUGGGGAAUAUUGCACAAUGGGAGAAAGCCUGAUGCAGCCAGGCCGCGUGUAUGAAGAAGGCCUUCGGGUUGUAAGGUACUUUCAGCGAGGAGGCGUUACUCGCAGAAGAAGCACCGGCUAACUCCGUGCCAGCCGCCGCGGUAAUAC
rnacentral:rRNA from 1 species